rnacentral:rRNA from 1 species
AACGUAGGGGCCAAGCGUUGUCCGGAUUUAUUGGGCGUAAAGAGCUCGUAGGCGGUUUGUCGCGUCUGCCGUGAAAGUCCGGGGCUCAACUCCGGAUCUGCGGUGGGUACGGGCAGACUAGAGUGAUGUAGGGGAGACUGGAAUUCCUGGUGUAGCGGUGAAAUGCGCAGAUAUCAGGAGGAACACCGAUGGCGAAGGCAGGUCUCUGGGCAUUAACUGACGCUGAGGAGCGAAAGCAUGGGGAGCGAACAGG